CCUACGGGAGGCUGCAGUAAGGAAUAUUGGUCUAUGGACGCAAGUCUGAACCAGCCAUGCCGCGUGGAGGAUGAAGGUCCUCUGGAUUGUAAACUUCUUUUAUUUGGGAAGAAACUCCCGAUUUCCAUCGGGAUUGACGGUACCAGAUGAAUAAGCACCGGCUACCUCCGUGCCAGCAGCCGCGGUAAUACGGAGGGUGCCAGAGUUAUCCGGUUUCACUGGGUCGAAGGGGGGCAUAGAAGGGCGUGUAGAAAUCUCCGGGCUUAACCCGGAAACUGCCAUUGAUACUAUUUGUCUUGAAUACUCUGGAGGUGAGCGGAAUAUGUCAUGUAGCGGUGAAAUGCUUAGAUAUGACAUAGAACACCCAUUGCGAAGGCAGCUCACUACGGAAAUAUUGACGCUGAGGCACGAAAGCGUGGGGAUCAAACAGGAUUAGAUACCCUGGUAGUC
rnacentral:rRNA from 1 species